UGGCUCAGAUGAAACGCUGGCGGCAGGCCUAACACAUGCAAGUCGAACGGUAACAGGAAGCAGCUUGCUGCUUUGCUGACGAGUGGCGGACGGGUGAGUAAUGUCUGGGAAACUGCCUGAUGGAGGGGGAUAACUACUGGAAACGGUAGCUAAUACCGCAUAACGUCGCAAGACCAAAGAGGGGGACCUUAGGGCCUCUUGCCAUCGGAUGUGCCCAGAUGGGAUUAGCUAGUAGGUGGGGUAACGGCUCACCUAGGCGACGAUCCCUAGCUGGUCUGAGAGGAUGACCAGCCACACUGGAACUGAGACACGGUCCAGACUCCUACGGGAGGCAGCAGUGGGGAAUAUUGCACAAUGGGCGCAAGCCUGAUGCAGCCAUGCCGCGUGUAUGAAGAAGGCCUUCGGGUUGUAAAGUACUUUCAGCGGGGAGGAAGGGAGUAAGUUAAUACCUUUGCUCAUUGACGUUACCCGCAGAAGAAGCACCGGCUAACUCCGUGCCAGCAGCCGCGGUAAUACGGAGGGUACAAGCGUUAAUCGGGAUUACUGGGCGUAAAGCGCACGCAGGCGGUUUGUUAAGUCAGAUGUGAAAUCCCCGGGCUCAACCUGGGAACUGCAUCUGAUACUGGCAAGCUUGAGUCUCGUAGAGGGGGGUAGAAUUCCAGGUGUAGCGGUGAAAUGCGUAGAGAUCUGGAGGAAUACCGGUGGCGAAGGCGGCCCCCUGGACGAAGACUGACGCUCAGGUGCGAAAGCGUGGGGAGCAAACAGGAUUAGAUACCCUGGUAGUCCACGCCGUAAACGAUGUCGACUUGGAGGUUGUGCCCUUGAGGCGUGGCUUCCGGAGCUAACGCGUUAAGUCGACCGCCUGGGGAGUACGGCCGCAAGGUUAAAACUCAAAUGAAUUGACGGGGGCCCGCACAAGCGGUGGAGCAUGUGGUUUAAUUCGAUGCAACGCGAAGAACCUUACCUGGUCUUGACAUCCACGGAAGUUUUCAGAGAUGAGAAUGUGCCUUCGGGAACCGUGAGACAGGUGCUGCAUGGCUGUCGUCAGCUCGUGUUGUGAAAUGUUGGGUUAAGUCCCGCAACGAGCGCAACCCUUAUCCUUUGUUGCCAGCGGUCCGGCCGGGAACUCAAAGGAGACUGCCAGUGAUAAACUGGAGGAAGGUGGGGAUGACGUCAAGUCAUCAUGGCCCUUACGACCAGGGCUACACACGUGCUACAAUGGCGCAUACAAAGAGAAGCGACCUCGCGAGAGCAAGCGGACCUCAUAAAGUGCGUCGUAGUCCGGAUUGGAGUCUGCAACUCGACUCCAUGAAGUCGGAAUCGCUAGUAAUCGUGGAUCAGAAUGCCACGGUGAAUACGUUCCCGGGCCUUGUACACACCGCCCGUCACACCAUGGGAGUGGGUUGCAAAAGAAGUAGGUAGCUUAACCUUCGGGAGGGCGCUUACCACUUUGUGAUUCAUGACUGGGGUGAAGUCGUAACAAGG
rnacentral:rRNA from 1 species